UGGUACCGAAAAAAAGGGCUGGACAUCCAUGACAUCAUGGAAGUGACACAUCCGGGAUCAGGCAAAAGCAAGGUCAGAAGAUUCAAGUAAACUGCACGAGUGGGUAAUCCAGACCCACGGGUGAUCCAUCACCAUGGCACUGAUGUCUUUCCUCAUUGCACACCUAGUACUCUGUGAUAGUUAACUGUGUCAAUUUGAGUCAGAAACACCCAACUAAAUUAGAUCAGCAUACAUUAGUUCUGGGUGUGACAGAAGGGAUUUACUGAAGACAGAAGACCCACCCUGGAUGUGAGUGGCACCAACCAAUAGGCAUGUCGCCUGAGUGGAAGAAAAGGGGAACAAAGAAGGAAGGCUCACUUCUGUUUCUUCAGAGAAGCUCCAGUCUUCACCUUCACCUUGGACGUCCUUUCCUGGCUUCCGGCACAGACCUUUCAGCCUUCUAUUGUAGACCUUCCUCUUUUCUCCUUUACUACUGGAAUUCAGACAGAGACCACAGCCUCUCUUGCAGCUGGCAUGGAUGUGAGACACAUGACUAAGCUCUGGCCAACUGGGUGUGAGCGGAAGUGAUAUGGGCCACUUCCUGGUCUAGCUCUUAAGUAUCGGGCAAGUCCCCUGCUCAUCUCUGCCCUCCUUUCUCCUGGCUGUGAUGAAGAUUCCACAUCCGGAGCUGAGCUAGAGAUGGAAGCCACAGGUGGACCACACACCUGUAAUCCCUGCACUUCAGAGUCUAAGGCAAGAGGGUGGCAAAUUUAAGGCCAGCCUGGACAAUACAGCAAGACCUUAUCAGAAAGAAAGAAAGAAAGAAAGAAAGAAAGAAAGAAAGAAAGAAAGAAAGAGAGAGGAGGUGAAGCCUGGUGGGAAGAAGUGGGUCAC
ensembl:lncRNA